UUUCGCCUGUUUUAUCAAAAACAUGUCUGCAUGGAAGUUGAAAUGUAGUAUGGCCUGCCCACUGAUUGAAAAAUUAAAGGGCCGCAGUAUCUUGACUGUGCAAAGGUAGCAUAAUCACUAGUUUCUUAAUUGGAAGCUUGUAUGAAUGGUCGGACGAGGGAAAAGCUGUUUCUUCGGGGAAUUUUGAACUUAACUUUUAGGUGCAAAGGCCUAAAUGAAUUUGGGGGACGAUAAGACCCUAUAAAUCUUUACAAUUAUCUUGUCGUAUAAGUAGUUUAUUUGUUGAUGUUUAACGAUAAUGGUUAAUUGUUUCGCUGGGGCGGCGUUGAUAAAAUAGUUAACUGUUUUGAAAGAUUACAAUUAUGUUUGUUUUAGAUUUAAAGAUCCUUAGUAGAGAUUAAAAGUUUAAGUUACUUUAGGGAUAACAGCGUUAUUCUUUUUAAGAGUUCAUAUCUAAAAAAGAGUUUGCGACCUCGAUGUUGAAUUAAAGUUCCCUAGGGGUUGUAGAAGCUUCAUAGGGAAGUCUGUUCGACUUUUAAAGCUUUACAUGAUCUG
rnacentral:rRNA from 1 species